GUGUUAUAUUAUUUUUAUUAAUUUCACUCAAAAUUCUCCUUGUUAUUCAUCAAUUAUUUUUAUUUAAUUGUGUAUUUUCAAAGUUGUUCUUUAAAUAUCAUAUAUUUCAGAGUUAAUGAAAUCAUAGUUGUGCUUGUUUUCAAUGUAUUGGUGUAUUUUGGAAAAUUGCGCGUGGCCCCUUUAAGUGUCGUUUUCCGGUUCCGCCUGCUCUCACUCAGUUCGCGGCAAACGCGAUUGAGGAGAGGUUGGUGAGCUCCUAAGGAAGGCACAUACUCAGCUUUGCCAUUUGUUUGCUUUAUUCAUACAGGUAUGUGUUUACAUAUGUGUUUAUGCUUCUGUUAUGUUUUUGAAUUUAUGUAUAAUGUUUCUUUUUUUUUGGUGUAUGUUAAACACACUUCAACUUUAUUUAUGUGAGUUCGCGGCAAACGCGAUUGAGGAGAGGUUGGUGAGCUCCUAAGGAAGGCACAUACUCAGCUUUGCCCUUUGUUUGCUUUAUUCAUGCAGAAUAAAAGCCUGUUAAUUCC